GUUAAACCCUAACACACUGAAAGCUUUAGCAUCACAUAGAAUAUUGGACUGAUGCUGUAGUUAGCAUAGUCCCUGAACAAAGAUGACACACAAAUUCCUGAAGGAUUCCAUUUUUUU
rnacentral:snRNA from 1 species